UACGUAGGGUGCAAGCGUUAAUCGGAUUUACUGGGCGUAAAGCGUGCGCAGGCGGUUAUGUAAGACAGAUGUGAAAUGCCCGGGCUUAACCUGGGAACUGCAUUUGUGACUGCAUGGCUAGAGUUUGGCAGAGGGGGGUAGAAUUCCACGUGUAGCAGUGAAAUGCGUAGAUAUGUGGAGGAACACCGAUGGCGAAGGCAGCCCCCUGGGUCAAGACUGACGCUCAUGCACGAAAGCGUGGGGAGCAAACAGG
rnacentral:rRNA from 1 species